rnacentral:rRNA from 2 species
UUAAAUUGAAGAGUUUGAUCAUGGCUCAGAUUGAACGCUGGCGGCAGGCCUAACACAUGCAAGUCGAACGGUAACAGGAAGCAGCUUGCUGCUUUGCUGACGAGUGGCGGACGGGUGAGUAAUGUCUGGGAAACUGCCUGAUGGAGGGGGAUAAC